CAGGCUGAAGCUUCCUCCGGAAGCUGCCACCCAGGAGCUGAGCCACCACAGCAGGCUGAACCCGGAAAGCAGCACCUUCACAGCCCUCGGCAUCAGGAUGGGCUUUGCCACAGCUACAUCCGUGAACGGGCUUGCACCUCCCUCCCGUUCUUUCCUGCUGACCGGGGCGUCCAUCCCAGGCCUGCAGUGCAGAAGGGAAAGGAGCAGCAGCCACGCAGGACUCGGUGCUGAGCCACAGACUCCUCCUCCACUUCCCUGCGCUGCCAACUCUUCCUUUGAGCAACAUCUUGAGGUACUACCCUUCUGCUGAGAACAUCUUACAUUAAGCUGCACCUGUGGCUGGCAUCAAGACCAACUCCAUCAAGCCAACACAAACCUCCGCACAAAACUUGAAAGGUUAUUACAUAUCCUAGGGAACACGCAGACAUUAUGUACUAGUCUGUAAAAGUAUUGCAUUUUGUAGGAGAUAAAGCUAUCCGCUGCCCUUGCCGUAUUCUUCCCUUUCCUCCUCCUUUCCCACCUCCCAAGUGAAACUUUCAACUAGAUUAUUCCACUGCACCCACUGCCCAUCCAGGAUCUUAACCCCAGGCUCCAAGGGCUGCCCUGCCCCACGUCCUGAGAGCAGCUCCGGGUGCUGUUCCGAUCUCCGGGACCAGACCCACAUGUGGUAAGAAGCCGCCACCCUCGGCUGAGCACAGGAGCCACCUACAGCUGACACAGGCGAGUGGUUGGGGCAGCCUUGCCGUGACACUGCUCAGGUGCAGGACCAGGACGGGCAAUGGAGCACCACUGACUACUCUCUGCUCCAUGUUCUCACCACCUGGGCAAGUAUUUGUACCGUACUUCUGGGCAUGUAACGUGUCAGCAUUUGCCCAGCGCUAUCGUGCCACCUUUUGUGCUGUUCAACACCAGCAGUUCAGACAUGCUCUCCCAUUAAUGAAACCGUUAUCUGACUGACCAACAGGCCCAGCUACACGAUGUGGCCCACACUGGAUUUUCAAAAGGGCCACGUGGGACAUAGCGGUGGAGUCAAGAAUCUGCAGCUGUGACAGAAGCCAGCCACAGGGAACAUCAGACUUUUAAGCAUAACAGAAGAGAGGGUGGUAGCUGGGGAUUGACUUGGUUUAGCAAAAGGUUGUUAGUCUGGAUCCCCCUCACCUACCACAACACGCUGCCAGCAGGAAGCCACCUUACCCCAGAUGAGCAUAUUCAGUGUGCUUCACUUUUCAGCCCCAUAAAAUGCACCCAGUGGCUAUACAGACACAUCUUUAGCAAAUUCUGACAAUGCUACUCACUUUUCUGAAUAGCAUUUCAUAAAUCUACAAGAAAUGUAAUCCAGUCUUCCCCAGGGUUAAGUAGCAAGAGGCUGACACUCCUGCUACUGUAGCCACCGUGGUCUACGGAUCAUAAAGUGAAGUCUUUUUCAAACAUGUCUCUCAAGACUUUUUUUUUAACCUAUUUCAGUUUGCCUAGGAAGAGAUUUUCUUCCAGUUAACUCCUCUAAAAUCAGUUCUGAUUCUUAUCCCUUUUUCUUUAAAAAAUUGGUACACUUGGCUCUAAAAAGGUUUACAAAAGUGAAAAGGAAGCCACAGUCUACCUGAAAAGAGCUGACAAAGCAUCUCACACCAAGUGAGGCUACAUUCACGAUACUGUUAGUUUUUGUUCUCUGUCACUAUCCAUAUAUAGAUAUAAAAUAAUUCCAAGCAAGACAUUCAUGUCCAUAUUUAUUAGUAAGCCUGUACACUGUCAAUACUCAUGAUGAAGCCCGAAAAAAAGAACACUAAUAGAACACAGUCUCCAUGUUUCAGAUGCAAAUUACUUCAAGAUUUUCCCCAGUUAACAUCAAUAUCCCAGACCAGCUCAUAAAAAACCAAAACUACUGGUAAUUGCCGUCCAACACUACAGCAGGAAUCACUCAGGGGUCACCGAACAGCGUACAGGGUUUAUCAAUCUGACGCAGAAAGACAAGUGUUUAAUUAGAGUU